rnacentral:lncRNA from 1 species
AUGGAGGGAGACAGAGAGAGAGAGACAGAGACAGAGAGAGAGAGAGAGAGAGAGAGAGAGAGAGAGAGGGAGGGAGAGAGAGAGAGAGAGACAGAGACAGAGAGAGAGAGAGACAGAGAGAGAGAGAGACAGAGAGAGAGAGAGAGAGACAGAGAGACAGAGAGAGACAGAGAGAGAGAGAGACAGAGAGAGAGAGAGAGACAGAGAGAGAGAGAGAGAGAGAGACAGAGAGAGAAAAGAAAGGCAGAAACCAGCGGGGGGGUUGGGGGGAGACAGACAGACAGACAGAGCGAGCGCAGUCAGUGGAUGCCACGUCCUGGGCCACUUCCCAUCUCGAAGGACACACCCGUGAGCUCUAGGCCGCGGCGCCGGGGGCCAGGGAGUGCCACGUGGCUGGCGGGGUGGUCCGGAAGCUCUCUGGGCUUUGCUCGGCUCGGUGACAUCCAGCCAGUCCGUACGGAAGCCCUCGGCGGGGCUCCCCACGAGGACGCAGAGGGGCUCCUUUCCCUGCCCUCUCCGGGGUCUGCUGAUGGCCGGCCGUUCUCUGAGUCUGGGCGCCGGAGCUCCCGCGGGCGACGCCAGGCUGCCUCUGAGGGACUGCGCGGACGCCCUGGUGGGAGGAGCCCUUCAGGGGACGCAGUGGCCGUGGCCGGGCCCUUCUCAGAGGCUCUCCAGCGGGGGCCGCCUCCUUGGGUGGGAGCACCGGAAGGCCUCCGCGCAGGCCCCAGAGGCCCAGGGAGACGCGCCCCGGAGGAGGGGCUUCCGUGUUGGGAUGGCUCGGCAGCCGCUGCCGCCAUGGCGAUCCCCCGUGGCCAUUGGGGGGACCUCAGAGCAGCUCGAGGGGAUCCCGCUGGGCCCAGCUCUGCCUCCUCCUGGCUGGGAGGGCUGCAGUGGAUGGCGUCUGGUGAGGCCCGUGAUGGGGGCCGCGAGGAGCCCGCCCGACGCACUCACCCCAGUCCCACCAGGCUUUCCCCGCUCUCGUGUGCUCUUCUCGGGCCUCCGGCCUGGAGAUUUUCCACAAGACUUUCUGGGGCGGCCAAGAACGGGUCGUGUUUGCACACGGCUCCGUAA